UGGGGAAUAUUGGACAAUGGGCGCAAGCCUGAUCCAGCCAUGCCGCGUGAGUGAUGAAGGCCUUAGGGUUGUAAAGCUCUUUUACCCGGGAAGAUAAUGACGGUACCGGGAGAAUAAGCCCCGGCUAACUUCGUGCCAGCAGCCGCGGUAAUACGAAGGGGGCUAGCGUUGUUCGGAUUUACUGGGCGUAAAGCGCACGUAGGCGGAUCUUUAAGUCAGAGGUGAAAUCCCAAGGCUCAACCUUGGAACUGCCUUUGAUACUGGGGAUCUUGAGUCCGGGAGAGGUGAGUGGAACUGCGAGUGUAGAGGUGAAAUUCGUAGAUAUUCGCAAGAACACCAGUGGCGAAGGCGGCUCACUGGCCCGGUACUGACGCUGAGGUGCGAAAGCGUGGGGAGCAAACA
rnacentral:rRNA from 1 species